rnacentral:ncRNA from 2 species
UACGGAGGGUGCAAGCGUUAUCCGGAUUUAUUGGGUUUAAAGGGUCCGUAGGCGGAUCUGUAAGUCAGUGGUGAAAUCUCACAGCUUAACUGUGAAACUGCCAUUGAUACUGCAGGUCUUGAGUGUUAUUGAAGUAGCUGGAAUAAGUAGUGUAGCGGUGAAAUGCAUAGAUAUUACUUAGAACACCAAUUGCGAAGGCAGGUUACUAAGCAACAACUGACGCUGAUGGACGAAAGCGUGGGGAGCGAACAGG